ACAACUCAAAUUCAAUCUGAUAGUUUUAAAAGUUGCAAUGUGAUCUGCUGGAUGUUGGAACAUCGCGAUUUGCUCUAGCAAUGCAAAAUAGAUAAAAUACAGUUUUAGUUCAUCUGUACGCAUCCAAGCUCGAAAUCCUGGGUAAUUUAAAACGAAGAGAGUAGAAUUACCGUAAGGAAAGGAUGAUUCUUCACUGCACGAAGAUAAAAAACACAUAUGGAAAAUUUAGUCUUUCAAACUAUUAAAUAAGUGAUGUAAAAAUCUUCCGUAAAUGAAAAUACUUUGAGAUAAAUAGAUUAUAAUUUUGCAUUAUACGGAUUAUAAAAAAGCUAAAAAUAGCUUGACGCCCGUCGUCAACAAACUUGCAACAUGUGCAUGCAAUGAAUCACGAAGUUGUUUGGAAUUUGAAAAUAAACAAUUUAUGCCUGUU